AUGAAUAAGAUGGAAAGACAGAGAGGGAUUUCUGUAAAAGGUUUUCAGACAGUGGGCUAUUAUGGAUGGGGGAUUUACAAAAAAAAAAAUCCUCCUCCCAAACCUGAGAUCUGGAUUACAGAUGAACGUCCUGUUGAGAACAUUUCCCCAAAGCCUACAAUUUUUCUUCCUUCAAUUGCUGAAAGAAAACUCCAUAAGACUGGAACAUAUCUUUGUCUUCUUGAGGAUUUUUUCCCUGGUGUUAUCGAGAUAUAUUGGAAAGAAAAGAAUGGCAAAACAAUUCUGGAAUCCCAGCAGGGAAACACCAUGAAAACUAAGGACACAUAUAUGAAAUACACCUGGCUGACCGUGAGUGAAGAGUCAAUGGGUAAAGAACACAAAUGUGUUGUCAAACAUGAUAGUAAUAAAGGAGGGGUUGAUCAAGAGAUUCUUUUUCCUUCAAUAGACAAAGAUUUGGUGUCGGUGAUGGGAUCUGAAAUGGACUUCCAGGGGCAAUCAGAGACAAGGGGACAGCCAGGGGAGGUAACUGUGAGCCCCUUGAGUUCACUGUCCUCCUCACCAUUUUCAAGGGCUGUAGAUCUCACUGCUAUUCACUCUACAGAAGCUUCUCUGAAGGGUGAAAAUGAUGCCCUGCAUCUGCAUCUCGUGAACAACUCUGCUUACUAUACCUACCUCCUGCUCCUCCUCAAAAGCAUGGUCUAUUCUGCCAUUAUCACUGUCAAUCUGCUUGGGAAACCCACACUCUUUGGUAAUGGGAAGAGUUCCUAACACAUGGUGGCACAAAAAGGUCCACAUUUUUCCAUUGGCUGUUAUCCUUAAAAGCCAGUAGGCACCUUCCAGUCAUGUCCCCUGGGGCUCUUUAACAAGAUGACUUCCUUGAAGCCUUUUAAUUUACACACCCUGAGGCCUCUAUCUUUGUUAAUGAAUUCUGUACUGUUUUUCAUAAAAAGAACAAGUAAAAUAAUCAAGACUCUA